rnacentral:rRNA from 1 species
ACUCAACAAUAAGCGGAGGAAAAGAAACUAACAAGGAUUCCCUUAGUAACUGCGAGUGAAGUGGGAAAAGCUCAAAUUUAAAAUCUGGCAGUCAUUUGGCUGUCCGAGUUGUAAUCUAGAGAAGUGUUGCCCGUGCUGGACCAUGUACAAGUCUCCUGGAAUGGAGCAUCACAGAGGGUGAGAAUCCUGUCUUUGACAUGGACUGCCAGUGCUUUUGUGGUAUGCUCUCAAAGAGUCGAGUUGUUUGGGAAUGCAGCUCAAAAUGGGUGGUAAAUGCCAUCUAAAGCUAAAUAUUGGCGAGAGACCGAUAGUGAACAAGUACCGUGAGGGAAAGAUGAAAAGAACUUUGGAAAGAGAGUAAAACAGUACGUGAAAUUGCUGAAAGGGAAACGCUUGAAGUCAGUCACGUUGACUUGGAAUCAGCUCUGCUUUUGCUGGGUGUACUUUCUUGUCAAUGGGUCAGCAUCAAUUUUGACCAUUGGAUAAAGUCAUUGGGAAUGUAGCAUCUUUAGAUGUGUUAUAGCCUGGUGAUGCAUACGGUGGUUGGGAUUGAGGAAUUCAGCACGCCACCAGGCCGGGUUUCGACCACGUUCGUGCUUAGGAUGCUGGCAUAAUGGCUUUAAUUGACCCGUCUUGAAACACGGACCAAGGAGUCUAACAUAUCUGCGAGUGUUUGGGUGGAAAACCCAUGUGCGUAAUGAAAGUGAAAGUUGAGAUCCCUUCUCAAGGGAGCAUCGACGCCCGGACCAGACCUUUUGUGACGGAUCCGCGGUAGAGCAUGUAUGUUGGGACCCGAAAGAUGGUGAACUAUGCCUGAAUAGGGUGAAGCCAGAGGAAACUCUGGUGGAGGCUCGUAGCGAUUCUGACGUGCAAAUCGAUCGUCAAAUUUGGGUAUAGGGGCGAAAGACUAAUCGAACCAUCUAGUAGCUGGUUCUGCGUCU